AUUUUAAUAAAAUGCAGAAGUAGGUUGACAAAAAUUUCACCUGCGACCUUGUCAACCACCUAGAAUGAAAGCCUCUGCAGCCCUCCCCUAAAGACUCAUCAAUGUGAGGCUGAAGCAGGAGGAUCGCCUGAGCCCAGGAGGUGGAGGUUGCAGUGAGCCAUGAUCGAGCCACAGCACUCCAGCCUGGGCAACAGAUGAAGACCCUAUUUCAUAAAUACAACUAUAAAAAAAAUAAAUAAAUCCUCCAGUCUGGAUCGUUUGACAGGACUUCAGGUUCUUUCUGAAAUUACCGUAAGUGUUACUGUUGCACUGAUGUCCGGAGACAGUGACAGCCUCCGUCAGACUCCCGCGUGAAGGUGUCACAAGGGAUUGGCAAUUGUCCCCAGGGACGAAACACUGUGUCCCCCCAAUGCAGGGAGCCGUGAUAAGCCUUUCUGGUUUCAGAGCACGUAAAUGCGUCCCUGUACAGAUAAUGGGGGUUUUUUGUUAUGUUUGCACUUUGUAUAUUGGUUGAAACUGUUAUCACUUAUAUAUAUA
rnacentral:sRNA from 1 species